AUACGGAGGGUGCAAGCGUUAAUCGGAAUUACUGGGCGUAAAGCGCGCGUAGGUGGAUGCUUAAAUCGGAUGUGAAAGCCCUGGGCUUAACCUGGGAACUGCAUUCGAUACUGGGCAUCUUGAGUAUAGUAGAGGGAAGUGGAAUUUCCGGUGUAGCGGUGAAAUGCGUAGAUAUCGGAAAGAACACCAGUGGCGAAGGCGGCUCCCUGGACUAAUACUGACACUGAGGUGCGAAAGCGUGGGGAGCAAACAGGAUUAGAGACCCGAGUAGUCC
rnacentral:rRNA from 1 species